rnacentral:rRNA from 1 species
UACGGGGGGGGCAAGCGUUGUUCGGAAUUACUGGGCGUAAAGCGUGCGCAGGCGGUGAUGUAAGACAGAUGUGAAAUCCCCGGGCUCAACCUGGGAACUGCAUUUGUGACUGCAUCGCUGGAGUGCGGCAGAGGGGGAUGGAAUUCCGCGUGUAGCAGUGAAAUGCGUAGAUAUGCGGAGGAACACCGAUGGCGAAGGCAAUCCCCUGGGCCUGCACUGACGCUCAUGCACGAAAGCGUGGGGAGCAAACAGG